UGCAGCCGCUACCUGCAUGAUUGCACCUUCGAAAUAUUUAAAGCCUUCCAUAAAUACUAAACUGACCCCAUAAAUUGCUUUGAAAUACACAGUACAAGUCUCUACGAGCGAAAUAUUUCAGUUAUCCCCGGUGAUUUCAUUCCGGAUAGCGGACGUGUUCCUGGUUUUUAUCACUUCGUUUGGCAGCUGAAGUUACGCUCGUAUAGUUUACCUUUUCCAUGUAUAUGAUACUGUGACCGGAUGUUUUGUCAUCGAUUUUUUUUUCAUUUGACUAACAUAUAAAAGGUUAAUUGUGUGAAAAAACCGUGAUUUUUCAUAUUAAACAAAAAAAUAUACACUGGACCCGUGCCUGUGGUUGAACCUCGUUCUCUUACUGACUCAGACGAUUACCAAACCAAACGUCUCUGUCUCAGAUUUCCGAUGAUCAGCCUAUAUUUUCUAUCGUCUAUCCCGUAAAGCUUGGGAGCCAGAGAGACUGUAUUCCCAUGGAAAUGUGAAAUCGUGCCAGACCUUUAGUAGGGACAGUGAGUGAGCCAAACAGGGUGCAAGUCCUUCUGUAUGUUCCCUGCCUUCAGUCUUCUAGACCUCUACUGCUGGUGUCUUCUGUUCUUUUGGUGCAGACAGUGUUUGGAGAGACUGGCAAAAAUGACAUGAAUAAAACUAUAACAACAACAAUUAAGCAACAUCAGAUCAGCUAAUUCAGAUGCUAAACUACCAGUAGUUGCUGGAAAUGUGAGACAGAGUUGGCAUUGAAUGAAUAACUUUCAGCUGGAUCUUGUCUGGAACUUUCUGGAGUUCAUUUGAACCACAUCUGUACAGUCAAUACUAUAAUUCAGAUCUGUCGUAGGGUUCAUGGAGGUCAUAGCCAACAUAAUACAGAUGCCCCUGUUCCAAGAUUCAUUCCUGCAAACCAAGACCAAACUGAUGGAUAAAGUAUCGGCUAAUUCAUUUGUGUCCCUUGCUUGAAGCUGCUUCCCAUGGAACUUUUUCACGAAGUCAUUGACUGUCAGAGUGGCAUGAAGACGGAAUGCACUGAUCAGACCAAGUUUCUCGCUGUUUCCUGGCAGCCAGUGGAAAGUUGAGAAUACCAGUGCAAGUCAAGUGUUGAAUUUUCCACAAAAUAGCGAGUCAAGUGUUGAAUUUUCCACAAAAUAGCACAGAUUCCGAGAAUAGCACAGAUUCCGAGCAUUGUUUCUCUCUGGUCAGAAAAAAAAAUCAGAGAAAUAACUUAUCAAUGAUAUAUUCCUGUCUGUUAGUAAUGAUUGAUCGCAUACUGAAUGCUACCAUGGGUCUACUGGCAAGCUGGAAAGAUACAAAGAUAAAGAUGAUUUAUUAAACUUACUGAACAUGACAUUAGAGAAUAUUCAGUUGUGAAAGUGAAAUAGGCAUUAAAAAUAUUAAGAUCAAGUGCAAAACUUAUGGUUCAUGAUUGACAUUAACAUUUACUGAAUGUAACAUUAAAGGAUGUGACAGUGAAAUAGACAUUAAACAUUAAAGAUCAAGUUGUAGUUUAAGAUAAAAUACUGAAAAGAUCAACACCAGGAUGUUCACAAUAAUGUUACAAUUUAUUUUAAGGCAUUUAGAACCCUAGCAUUAAUAUGAAUUUUGAUAUUGUACUUACCAGCGUUCUCUAUCUUUGCUCCAUGACACUCACAUGAGACAUUAUAAUUGACCAGAUCCUUGUUAGUUAGCUUUCAGUGUCUUCUAACAAUUUUGGCAUAAACACUGCUGUAACAUCAGUUAGUUGAUCAAUGGUCAAUGGCAAAAUAACACCAAUUGGCUCAUUUUCGACUCUGUAUGUACGCUCACAAUCAAGGCACUCAAAACCAAGGCAGUCUUUGUAUUAAAAUUUGAAGUGUU